UAAACCAGGAUUAGAUACCCUAUUAUUCCUAAACCAAACAAACCCUAAAGAAGUACUUGCUAUAAGCAUGAAACCUAAAGGAUUUGGCGGUGUUUUACCUUACCAGAGGAACCCGUUCUAUAAUCGUCACUACGCGAAACAUCUUUCCCAAGGACGGUUCAUAUACCGUCAUUUAAAUCACGCUAAAAAGCAAUAUUAAAACGGGUUACCACAAAAUUAGACAAGGUGUGGCAUCCUUGGGAACGAAUAGGUUACAUUUUACAAACAAGUGGAAUCUUUAUGAAAAAUAGAGGAAAACGGAUUUGUUAGUAAUU
rnacentral:rRNA from 1 species